GAGCAAAUGAGAAUGCAGAGUAGAGGAAAGCAGGGCCUUGGUAAGAAGAUCUGCAAGCUGCAGGUAAGUGGAGACAUGAAAAUUAACAAUAGAACCAUCAACAAUUUUGUCACGAAUCACGUGACAAUCCAGCUCAAUGUGCUUGGUCCUCUCAUGGAAGACCGGAUUGGCAGCAAUGUGAAGAGCUGCUUGGUUGUCACAAAAGAACUUGGCAGCUUAAGGGUGUGAAACUUGGAGAUUUGUAAGAAGGUAACGGAGCCAAGUAAGUUCAGAACAAGUAGUUGCCAUUGAUUUGUACUCAGAUUCAGCAGAGGGGCGUGAGACCACAGAUUGUUUCUUGGACUUCCAAGAAAUGAGAGAGCUGCCCAAUAAGACAUAAUAUCCAGUGACAGAACGACGUGUAUCAGGGCAGGAGGCCCAAUCUGAGUCACAAUAUGCAAUCAAUUGCAGAGAAGAUGCAACUGGAAAGAGAAUGCCUUGACCAGGAGCUUGCUUAAUAUACCUCAGCACCUUGUGGGCAGCAGCCAAAUGUGCUGAGGUAGGCGUAGCCACGAAUUGACUUAAAGUGUGAACAGCAUAGCUUAUGUCAGGUCGUGAGAUAGUUAGAUAUAAUAAUGUCCCUAUUAACCUGUGGUAAAUGGAAGGGUCUUGCAGCAAAACACCAGUAUUCUUACUUAACUUUAAAUUUUGAUCCAUUGGAACCUUGACUGGCUUGGAACCCAAUGUACCAGAAUCAGCAAGUAUGUCUAAGGCAUAUUUGCGCUGACAAAUGUGAAUGCCCUGAGGAGAACGAGCAACUUCAAUGCCAAGAAAAUAUCGGAUGGAACCGAGAUCCUUAAUUUUAAAUUGAUCGUUCAAGAAGACCUUCAAAACUGAAAUUGAAUCAAGG
rnacentral:lncRNA from 1 species